UAGGGAAUCUUCCACAAUGGGCGAAAGCCUGAUGGAGCAACGCCGCGUGUGUGAUGAAGGCUUUCGGGUCGUAAAGCACUGUUGUAUGGGAAGAACAGCUAGAAUAGGAAAUGAUUUUAGUUUGACGGUACCAUACCAGAAAGGGACGGCUAAAUACGUCCCAG
rnacentral:rRNA from 1 species